rnacentral:rRNA from 1 species
GACGAACGCUGGCGGCGUGCCUAAUACAUGCAAGUAGAACGCACAGUUUAUACCGUAGCUUGCUCCACCAUAGACUGUGAGUUGCGAACGGGUGAGUAACGCGUAGGUAACCUGCCUGGUAGCGGGGGAUAACUAUUGGAAACGAUAGCUAAUACCGCAUAAUAUUAAUUAUUGCAUGAUAAUUAAUUGAAAGGUGCAAUUGCACCACUACCAGAUGGACCUGCGUUGUAUUAGCUAGUAGGUGAGGUAACGGCUCACCUAGGCGACGAUACAUAGCCGACCUGAGAGGGUGAUCGGCCACACUGGGACUGAGACACGGCCCAGACUCCUACGGGAGGCAGCAGUAGGGAAUCUUCGGCAAUGGACGAAAGUCUGACCGAGCAACGCCGCGUGAGGGAAGAAGGUUUUCGGAUCGUAAAGCUCUGUUGUAAGAGAAGAACGGGUGUGAGAGUGGAAAGUUCACACUGUGACGGUAUCUUACCAGAAAGGGACGGCUAACUACGUG